UAGUACUAUCAUUAAAUUAAUUUUGAUCGAUCUUUCUCUCCCAAACUUUUCUUUUUUCCUUUCUCUUUCUUUGGAGCAAAAUCUAAAUGGUGUCAGCUUCUGCUUAAGAAAUGUGAGAAUGGUUUCUUUGGGGUGUGUUAGUUACUGCACUCUCUAACUAACAACAACAACAACAACAAAAAUUCAAACCCACUAUUAACUAAUAUUAAAAGAACAAGAAGAAGAAGCUGAAGAUAGCUCACUAACUCACUCACUCAGUGUCUCAGCUCUGUAUAAUACAUGGGUUCGGAGCAAAAUAGAUUCCCUCAGCAAGAACGGCGAAAGAGAUGGGCAGGAUGUUGGAGUGCAUUGUCUUGUUUUGGUACGCAGAAAGGUGGAAGGCGUAUUGUACCUGCAUCUCGUAUUCCUGAGGGAAAUGCAGCCGCAACCCAGCCAAAUGGACCUCAAGCGGCUGGGUUGACCAAUCAGGCUACCGCACUAGCUCCAUCUCUACUUGCCCCACCGUCGUCACCAGCAUCCUUUACGAAUUCUGCACUCCCUUCAACAGCUCAAUCACCCAGCAGUUUCUUGUCAUUAUCUGCCAACUCACCUGGAGGUCCUUCAUCCACAAUGUAUGCCACUGGGCCAUAUGCCCAUGAAACACAGCUCGUUUCUCCUCCUGUUUUUUCAACCUUUACAACUGAGCCAUCUACUGCUCCUCUCACUCCCCCACCAGAGUUGGCUCACCUUACCACACCCUCUUCUCCAGAUGUGCCUUUUGCUCAGUUCCUCUCAUCUUCAGUGGAACUCAAAGGCACUAAUAAGACCAAUUACAUGGGUGCAAACGAUCUUCAAGCAACAUAUUCACUUUAUCCAGGAAGUCCUGCUGGUAGUCUCAGAUCACCAAUGGGAUCCUCGUUUCCUGAUCGGGAGUUUACCACACAAUGGGAUCCUUCAAUUUCUCCCCAAAAUGGCAAAUAUCCAAGGAGUGGUUCUGGCAGGCUAUUUGGGCAUGACACGACCAGUGCCUCCAUGGUGUCUCAAGAUUCUAAUUUCUUCUGCCCAGCUACAUUUGCUCAAUUCUAUCUGGAUCAUAAUCCACCAUUUCCUCAUACUGGCGGGAGGUUAAGUGUGUCCAAGGAUUCAGAUGUUUAUCCUUCUGGUGGAAGUGGACAUCAGAACAGGCACAAUAAGAGCCCCAAGCAAGAUGUCGAAGAAAUAGAAGCUUACAGAGCAUCCUUUGGGUUCAGUGCAGAUGAAAUUAUUACUACCACCCAAUAUGUGGAGAUAUCUGAUGAUGUAAUAGAGGAUUCAUUCACCAUGACUCCUUUUACCUCUAAUAAACUACCCAUGGAAGAAAAUACAGAACAUGCAUCAGUGAUUGAAGGACUGAAAGCUCAGAAAACACAAACAAACUUGUGGAGUAAAAAAAGCCUUGAUGAGGGUGUAUACUGUGAUGUGCCAGUGUUAUGCAAUGGCCAUGAAGAUAAUAAAUCACGGAGACAACCUAGCAAUCUCUCUGGAUCAAGUACACCCGGUACUCUGACUGAUGAAGAGGACAUAUAUUCGAAGAUGGAGUUAUCCAAAAAGGGUAGCAGAAAAUACCCGCUGGGUUUGUCUUGCUCUGAUGCAGAAGUUGACUAUAGGCGAGGAAGAAGCGUAAGAGAAGGCAGAGGAGAUUUUGCCUGGCAUUGACUGAGAAUCAGUUCAAAAUAGGUUGUCAAUUGUUUCCGAUGUGAAUUAGUUUGCAGGUGUGUGACGUGAUCUUUCUGAUUGAUGAAUGUAUCUCUAUGGUCCUAUUUCCUGUUAAGUUACAUAGGUGGCGCAUCUAAUUAUGUGUAUUUGGUGAAUGCAACUGGUUUAAGUCAUUUAUACUAUGGAACAACUAUUGCAACAUCAGUUUAGCUGAUGUUCUGGAGUAUUUUC